AGAGUUUGAUCAUGGCUCAGAACGAACGCUGGCGGCGUGGAUAAGACAUGCAAGUCGAGCGCUGAUUACGGGGUAGCAAUAUUCCGUAGUCGGAGCGGCGCAAGGGUGCGUAACACGUGGGCAAUCUGCCGUGAAGCCCGGAAUAACUCGCUGAAAGGCGAGCUAAUACCGGAUGUGACGUUUGGGAGGCAUCUUCCGAACUUCAAAGCUGGGGACCGCAAGGCCUGGCACUUCAUGAUGAGCCCGCGGCCUAUCAGCUAGUUGGUGAGGUAACGGCUCACCAAGGCUAAGACGGGUAGCUGGUCUGAGAGGACGACCAGCCACACUGGAACUGAGACACGGUCCAGACACCUACGGGUGGCAGCAGUCGAGAAUUUUUCACAAUGGGCGCAAGCCUGAUGGAGCGACGCCGCGUGGGGGAUGAAUGGCUUCGGCCCGUAAACCCCUGUCAUUUGCGAACAAACCUCGUUAUUUAAAAGAUGACGAGUUGAUGGUAGCGAAAGAGGAAGGGACGGCUAACUCUGUGCCAGCAGCCGCGGUAAUACAGAGGUCCCAAGCGUUGUUCGGAUUCACUGGGCGUAAAGGGUGCGUAGGCGGUCGGGUAAGUCUGACGUGAAAUCUCCGAGCUUAACUCGGAAACUGCGUCGGAUACUAUUCGGCUCGAGAGUUGGAGGGGGGACUGGAAUUCUCGGUGUAGCAGUGAAAUGCGUAGAUAUCGAGAGGAACACCAGUGGCGAAGGCGAGUCCCUGGACAACUUCUGACGCUGAGGCACGAAAGCCAGGGGAGCAAACGGGAUUAGAUACCCCAGUAGUCC
rnacentral:rRNA from 1 species